AGAGAGGGGGCUUCUCACAGCUGAAGGAAAAGACAUUAAAAAUAAAGAAGAAAUCUUAAAUCUUCUGGCUGCCCUUUGGGAACCCAAAAAGCUGGCUAUCGUCCACUGUCCGGGACAUCAAAAAGCCACUAACCCAGUCACUCGAGGAAACAACCUGGCCGACCAGACUGCGAAAGACGUGGCUAAAACCACUCCUCAGCUGCUGGCCCUCCAGCUGCCUGAUCCCGGGCCCAGAGAAUUGCCCUUUCACCCAGAAGACUCAGAAUAGGACCUCCAGUGGAUAAGUAAACUCCCUGGAACACAGAUACAUUCUCAGGAUGGGCAGAAGCUUUUCCGCCAAAAAAAGAAACUGCACAGAUUGUGGCCAAAAAGAUCCUAGAAGAGAUCCUGCCCAGGUAUGGCUUUCCAGUCAUGAUAGGGUCGGAUAACGGGCCGGCCUUCACCGCAAAGCCCUACAGAGAGUUCAUGAGGAAGUCUGGCCCAAGCUAAA